CCCUUAGAUGGUCUGGGCUGCACACGUGCUACACUGGCAGGUUCAGCGAGCUUCAUGCCCUGAUCUGAAAGGAAUGGGAAAUCUUUUCAAAACCUGCCGUGCUUGGGAUAGAUGUUUGCAAUUAUUCAUCUUCAACGAGGAUUGCCUUGUAAGCGCACGUCAUCAGCGUGCAUUGAAUACGACCCUGUAUUCUGUACACACCGCCCGUCGCUCCUACCGAUUGAAGUUUUCGGUGAGUUGACAGGAGGAUUUUUUUGAAACUGGUUCGCCAGUGGAUUUUAGAUCCAAAUGCCAACGAAUCGAUGGCUUUAGAGGAAGGAGAAGUCGUAACA
rnacentral:rRNA from 1 species